UAGACAGAUGCUCCAUGGAUUGGGCCUUUAGCUGUUAACUAAAAGUUGGUAGGAUCGAGGCCUGCCUGUCUAG
rnacentral:tRNA from 1 species